rnacentral:rRNA from 1 species
UACGAGGGGGCUAGCGUUGCUCGGAAUCACUGGGCGUAAAGCGCACGUAGGCGGAUUGCUAAGUCAGGGGUGAAAUCCUGGAGCUCAACUCCAGAACUGCCUUUGAUACUGGCGACCUUGAGUCCGGGAGAGGUGAGUGGAACUGCGAGUGUAGAGGUGAAAUGCGUAGAUAUCGUAAGGAAGACCAGUGGCGAAGGCGGGUCUCUGGACAGGUUCCUGACGCUGAGGGCACGAAGGUCAGGGGAGCAAACGGG